rnacentral:lncRNA from 1 species
CCCAUCCAAAAAUCAUCUUGGAAUCAACUCGGCCUGUAUAAGAUUGUAAAAAAUUAUAGUAAUGGAUAAGUAAAAUAUUAAAACUUUUGAACAUGAUUUUAUAGAGUUUGCAACAUCUUAGGGGUUGGUUUUCACAUGAUCUUUUGCCGAACAAGCAUGUCCAGCAACUUUCAAAUCUUUUUUCAAAGAUAACCAACUUCUAAAAUCAUCCGCAUCUAACAGCUGGAACUGUUCAAUGGUGUUUAGUCCAGAAACACGCACACCAUAUCGACAGUGGCACGAUGUUCUUGUUCCAUAGUACAAUCUAAUGAUCUAUUCCCUUCCUACACACCACUUACAGAGAUCGGCUGGUUCAGCUACAGCUACAAACAGAGGCCACUACAAGUUUGGCAUGACGGAUGAGUGGGAGGAGUCGUCGUGCUCGGGCCUGUGGAGGUUGUGGAGGAUGUAGAGCGAAGCGGAGGAGAGGAAGAUGCAGACGGAGUAGCUGAGCAGGUCGAGCCCCGUGGCGAUCUUCACCAUCUUGCUCCGCUCGAACAUCUUCACCAGCAGGAUCAUCACGAUCACGUGCCCCACCUUCGUCUUCAGCUCGUCCAGCGACGUGAUCUUCAUCCACUUGGGCCGCUCCUGCACCCACCCAACAGUUCAUUCAGUUCCAGGUUUCUAAUUACUUCCUCUGAUUCAUAAUAAGUGUCGCGGGCCGCUCCUGCACCCACCCAACAGUUCAUUCAGUUCCAGGUUUCUAAUUACUUCCUCUGAUUCAUAAUAAGUGUCGCCGAUCUAAGUACAAGUCUGAACUUAUAGUAGAACUUGUUGAAUCACCUUGAGAGCGAACAUCCCGAAGAGGGAUGAUCCCUGCAGGGCGCGGUCGGAUUCGGAGGGCGCGUCGGUGGGGGCGUUGCUGAUGAACAGCCCGUAGAGGCCCAUCCCGAAUAUCAGCAUCACGGUGCCGGCAAGAUACACAUCUGCAUAUGCAUGGCAACGGCCAAGUACCCAAAAAAGCACCAUCAGAUUCUUCAGAGAAAUCUUAGGAAGUGACACUCGAUCGUUCUACAUCAUAUUUUAUCAGAACGGAUCGAUCGGAACAUGUAGAUGAUGAAUGUGAGCCAGCACUCA